AUAUUGCGCAAUGGGGGAAACCCUGACGCAGCAACGCCGCGUGAGCGACGAAGGCAUUCGGGUCGUAAAGCACUGUCAAUAGGGAAGAAGUCUAAUAAGUAAACAGCUUAUUAGGUGACGGAACCAAUAAAGGAAGCCUCGGCUAACUAGGUGCCAGCAGCCGCGGUAAUACAUAGGGGGCGAGCGUUGUCCGGAAUUACUGGGCGUAAAGGGCGUGUAGGCAGCUAAAUAAUUCAGGUGUGAAAACUGUGGGCUCAACCCAGAGAUUGCACCUGAAACUGUCUGGCUUGCGGGUAGGCGAGGAAAGUGGAAUUCCUAGUGUAGCGGUGAAAUGCGUAGAUAUUAGGAGGAACACCAGUGGCGAAGGCGACUUUCUGGCCUAACCCUGACGCUGAGGCGCGAAAGCGUGGGGAGCAAAC
rnacentral:rRNA from 1 species